CCACUGCUUCUCCCUCAAACCCACCACCAAUCCCUAACCUCUCCGCCCCAUAAUUAUUUCUUCUCGCUCACCUCAAAUUCUCUCUCCACUCACUUACGCUCUCUACUCUCUUUCCUCAAUCGAAACCAAAAACGCAAACGCUCGCAACGAGUUGACGACCUUCCUCGCAACCACAUCCCCAAUCACAAAUGAGCCUCCACCGACAACAUUGAUGACCUUCCUCGAGCCGUCGCCGACGAUGGCCGUCGCCGACACUUUAAACAGCGGCGUCGAUCUCUACCUCCUCGAAGCAUUCGAGAGAUCCUAGAACACCAUCGAAGUCGUCGACCACGCUAAAGGUAUUCGCCUUACGAUGGAGGCCUCGCUAGGCAAAUGCCUUCCAGAGUGCUCCCUCGUGUGUGUAAAGCCCUAAAAUCUUCAUUAUCUUCUUUGCUUCUUCAAGGGUUAUUCGGAAAUACUCAGUCAGAUCGUCAUUUUCUCGCGCUAAAGACACAGAGCCAUCGCCGGCGAUAGCGAAGGAGACCGAUGACAGCUUGAAGCAGAAUGGAACGAAAGAAGAUGAAUAUGCUAUCACUUUGUAAGCUAUGCCGGUACAUUGAUCUCACCGAUGAGAUGAAGCGUCUGAAGGAGUUAAAGGAUGAGCUUGAGAUAUGAUCGAUUUGAAAUCCUAUGAACAAAGAAUCAAAGAAAGUGAGGGGAAACUUGUAGAGAUUGGGGUCCUUUUCCGGGGAUGUACGCUAUCUUUGUUUCAACACCAGAUGAGGACUUUUUCAGGGGACCUUUUCCGGGAAAUGUUUCCCAUCUCUGUUUCAACACCACAUGAGCUCGCAUAUUCCCACCACCCCUCAUGUGGAUCAGCUCAAAGGCACACACCAACUCAUGGUGUACAUCCCCGGAAAAGGUCCUCAAUCUCUACAAGUUUCCCCUCACUUUCUGUGAUUCUUUGCUCACAUGCUUUCAAAUCAGUCCGAACACUUGCCAAUUCCAAACGGGUCAUCGCCUACUUGAUCUCAAACCCAUCCCUAACAGGCGAAUUUGGCAUGUGUUCGGACUGAUUUGAAAAGCAUGUGAGCAAAGAAUCAAAGAAAGUGGGGGAAACUUGUAGAGAUUGAGGACCUUUUCCGGGGAUGUACACCAUCUCUGUUUCAACACCAGAUGAGUUGGUGUGUGCCUCUGAGCUGAUCCACAUGAGGGGUGUGGGAGGUGGGAAGAUGUGAGCUCAGAUUGUAUAUGCUCCAAAUCUGAAAUUUGCUGUGCGCACUGCACUCGAACAAAUGUCUAGCAGUGAGAAGAUUCCCAUUCAUGAGUAUCAAGCCCGACGCAGAAGAUGGAUUGUGCGGAUGUAGACACUUUUUGUAAUCUUGUAAACUCUCCAAUGUGUGGUAAUCUGUGUUGAUCUUGUAAACUCUCCAAUGUCUGGUAUGGAACGCUGAAAAAAUGUUAAAAACAGGUGGCAUGCCUAUAAUUUGAGGGCUGUCUAAGGGAGUGGGACACCCUUCGUGAGAAAGGGGUCUUUUUUUCAAUGAAUUGUUUCUGAUUUAGUUUCAUGAAAAUGGUAAGGGCUGUAGUUAAACGUAUGCUUCCAGCAGUUGUUGGCAGGGACAUAACUCGAAGAAACUUUGUUCUGCA